rnacentral:rRNA from 1 species
GAUGAACGCUGGCGGCGUGCCUAAUACAUGCAAGUCGAGCGAACAGACGAGGAGCUUGCUCCUCUGACGUUAGCGGCGGACGGGUGAGUAACACGUGGAUAACCUACCUAUAAGACUGGGAUAACUUCGGGAAACCGGAGCUAAUACCGGAUAAUAUAUUGAACCGCAUGGUUCAAUAGUGAAAGACGGUUUUGCUGUCACUUAUAGAUGGAUCCGCGCCGCAUUAGCUAGUUGGUAAGGUAACGGCGUACCAAGGCCACGAUGCGUAGCCGACCUGAGAGGGUGGGCGGGGACAGGGGAGGGGGGACGGGGUGCAGAGGCGGGCGGGGGGCAGGAGUAGGGAAUCGGGGGCAAGGGGCGGAAGGGUGACGGAGCAACGCGGGGUGAGUGAUGAAGGUCUUGGGAUCGGAAAACGCUGUUAUUGGGGAGGGAGAAGUGGGUAAGUAAGUAUGGACGGCGUGACGGUACCUGGUCGGAAGGCCACGGCUGACUACGUG